CCGAGAGUGUAUUGAAGUAUGUCACAGUAUUAGUAUUUUGACUGUCAUUUGCAUAAUACUUCAUGGAACUUUUUAUUAUUUCAUCCUAGCGUGAACUAAUAUUUAACAUCUCAUUCAACAAUUAUGCAUUUUAAAUAAAUGAUGUAAAUGCUAACGUUUCGCUUUAAAAUUGCCCGAAAAGUAGGGCAACGAAUUAAAAGGAUACCGUGUUAUGACGCUUCCUGUUAGCUCGGAUUUUUUCGCAUUUCUAUAACAGAUGCAUGUGAACGCAGCUGAUACGGCAUCUGAUCGCGUAGCAUUCAUUACAUUGCAAAUGAAUAGUAGAUUAGCAGUGAAGAGGUAAUCGAGACUUUGGUGGAACAACCAGUAUGCAGAAGCAACUAAUGAUCAUGAUGAUUUCAUUGUGAGAUGCAUGUUUAUUUGCAAGUUAUUGGAAUUGAUUAUAAUAUACCUGUUACUGAUGGCACAAACAAUCCUAACAAAAUCUCCAAUGUACUGAACCUGGCUCGUUGGCAGGAUUUUCCCAAGUUGACAUCUGCCUGUCUCCAUGAGCCAUAAAGGAUGGCAUCUGUGCCUUGAUACCUAGUUCCUCCAAGUAAUCCAAGGAGUCUCUGAAACCACGGUCCACCACAAAUACAUCAUCCUCGCAAACCCAUCCCUGUAUGUCAUCGAUAUUUCUUUUCAAAAUGUGGUUGAGUAUGGAGGCAUCAUUGUUUUUUGCAAUAUAAGGGCCUAAUACAGAAACAAAGUAGCCUGUCGAUGACACAAUGACCAUAGGUUUCACAAGUGGCCUGCCUUUGUGGAGACUGUAGGAUUGACGUUGAAAUCUAAAAUUACCACUUUUGUUGAUGUAGAUGUACGUUCCAUCCAAUAUAAGUAUGGCUUGCUGAGUUGUGUCAUCACCAAAAAGUGUCUGGGCAAGGGGUCGCGUAUGCUUAUUGAUUAUCUCCUCUCGCGUUAUGUGACCAAAUCCAAGGUUUUCUGUGACAAAACCUCCAGUCAUCAAUAUAUUGCGGACAGCUCGCACACUUCUUUGUAUACUGGAUUUGGAAAUAUUAAACAAUGUGGACAAAAUCUUGUUUGACUCCCCUCCUCUCAAUUUUAGCAAAAAGAUUGCAAGGCUGGUUCUGGUAGUUCUAGCAGGAGUUAUUUUGAUUUUCCCCUCGAUAAACAGCAUCAUGUCAUUGAAAGAAGCUUUUGAUAUCCCCAGGAGAUCUACAUAUUCAGUGUCUGUGUUUUGGGCAGCAACGAGCUCCAGCAGGAAUUAUGACUUCUUUGGUGAUAAAGAUUCGAUGACGAAAUCCCACUGGAACCACAACUAGCUUUGGUCCUGGCCUUUUGCAGAUGCAACAUGCAGCAUGUCCUCUUGAUGUGCAAGGAAAAGGAAGAGUUACUGAUGGUGGACUGAACUGAGGUGUUAAAGUUGUAGAUGAUGUUGAUGGUGCGGAUUCACCUUGACAAUCUGUCGUGCUCGCCAUGCUAUGACCUUUGCGUUUUAUGUGACGUGCACACAUGCACCUACAUCUGUUGCAUAAGAAGUCAUCGUCACCUGGUGUUCUCCCAGAUAGUUUGGAGAUAACGACUCUGUAUUUUCUUGCAAUGCUGUAUCUGUCUUUCUGUCGUACCACGCGUGGACAAUUACAACAGUUGUAAGAUUUCUUACCAGGCAUCUGAAAUGUCAAAUAAAAUCUGUUUCAUUUUA